UUUGCUUAUGGUUCUACAGGCUGUACAAGAAACAUGGCACCAACAUCUGCAUCUGGUGUGGACCUCAGGCUACUUCCAUUCAUGGCGGAAGGUGAAAGGGAGCUGGUGUUGCGGAGAUCACAUAGAAAGAGAGGAGGAAAGAGAGAGAGGGAUAAGAAGAUCAAACUCUCCCAAAAAGUAGAGAUUAAACAACAACUAAAGAUGGCGAAUCAUAGAAGUUACCACCAUUCCUGGUAUUGGUCCCAGUUCUUCUAAGAAUAUUUUUGAUGCAAGAGCUGUUUUAUCUUGAAUCCUACAUAGCUUAUUUUCCAUUUUUCCAUUCAAAUAAAACAACAAGAGAACAAUAGAGUGAAGAAAAAGGAUGUUUAAGCCUAAAUCCAAGACUGAGGUACAAGACCAAGAAAAGUGGGGCAGAAGAUGGAAAAGAACAAGUGAAGAAUCUUGGAAACAAUUCAAAGGCACGUUGGAUUCUUUGCUUGUAAUAAGAAGUGCAAGUUGGUGUUACUUCUUAAGAUCUAAUGUUAAAAUUUCUUGAAUCUGA